rnacentral:rRNA from 1 species
GACGAACGCUGGCGGCGUGCUUAACACAUGCAAGUCGAACGGAAAGGCCUUUUCGGAGGUACUCGAGUGGCGAACGGGUGAGUAACACGUGGGUGAUCUGCCCUGCACUCUGGGAUAAGCCUGGGAAACUGGGUCUAAUACCGGAUAGGACCGCACUUUAGUGUGUGUGGUGGAAAGUUUUUUCGGUGUAGGAUGAGCCCGCGGCCUAUCAGCUUGUUGGUGGGGUAAUGGCCUACCAAGGCGGCGACGGGUAGCCGGACUGAGAGGUUGGUCGGCCACAUUGGGACUGAGAUACGGCCCAGACGCCUACGGGAGGCAGCAGGGGGGAAUAUUGCACAAUGGGCGCAAGCCUGAUGCAGCGACGCCGCGUGGGGGAGGACGGCCUUCGGGUUGGAAACUCCUUUCGCCAGGGACGAAGCGCUUUGUGACGGUACCUGGAGAAGAAGCACCGGCUAACUACGUG